rnacentral:rRNA from 1 species
UGGGCGUUCGGUGGAUGUCUUGGCAUGAGUGGCUGAUGAAGGACGUGGCGGCCUGCGUUAUUCCCUGGGGAGUUGGCGAGCGAGCGUUGAUCUGGGGGUUUCCGAAUGGGGUAACCUAGCCUCCUGUUUGGGGGUUACUGCGCACUGAAUUGAUAGGUGUGUGGGAGGUACGAGGGGAAGUGAAACAUCUUAGUACCCUUAGGAGAAGAUAUUUCGUGAGUAGUGGUGAGCGAAAGCGGAUGAUGGCUAAACCGUGUGCGUGUGAUACUCGGCAGGGGUUGCGUGUGCGGUGUUGUGGGGUCUUUUUGUUGCUUGUCUGCCGGCGAGUAGAUUCCGGGAUGAUUGUUUUGGCGAAGGGUUUGGAAUGGCCUGCCGUAGUGCGUGAGAGUCGUGUAGUUUUUGAUGAUUGUUCUGGUUUGGAGAAGGUGCCCGAGUAGUGCGGGACUCGUGGAAUCUCGUGUGAAUCUGCCCAGACCACUGGGUAAGCCUGAAUACUUACUUGUGACCGAUAGUGGAUUAGUACCGUGAGGGAAUGGUGAAAAGUACCCCGGGAGGGGAGUGAAAUAGUUCCUGAAACCGGGCGCUUACAAGCCGUCAGAGCCUGUUUGUUGGGUGAUGGCGUGCCUAUUGAAGAAUGAGCCUGCGAGUUAGUGGCAUGUGGCUUGGUUAACCCGUGUGGGGUAGUCGUAGCGAAAGCGAGUCUGAUAAGGGCGUUUGGUCGCGUGUUCUAGACCCGAAGCGGGGUGAUCUACGCAUGGUCAGGUUGAAGCUAUGGUAAGACGUGGUGGAGGACCGAACCCACUUCAGUUGAAAAUGGAGGGGAUGAACUGUGCGUAGGGGUGAAAGGCCAAUCAAACUCCGUGAUAGCUGGUUCUCCCCGAAAUGCAUUUAGGUGCAGCGUUGAGUUUAGGUUUGUGUGAGGUAGAGCUACUGGUUGGUCAAUGGGCCUUGUUGGUUACUGAGACCAGCCAAACUCCGAAUGCGCAUUAAACUAUUGCUUGGCAGUGAGACAGCGGGGGAUAAGCUUCGUUGUCAAAAGGGAAACAGCCCAGAUCGCCGGUUAAGGCCCCUAAGGGUAUGCUUAGUGGGAAAGGAUGUGUAGUUGCUGUGACAGCCAGGAGGUUGGCUUAGAAGCAGCCAUCCUUGAAAGAGUGCGUAAUAGCUCACUGGUUUAGUGAUUGCGCGCCGAUAAUUUAGCGGGGCUUAAGCAUACCGCCGAUACCGUGGCUUCCAUACGUGUGCUGGCUGCUCUUUGUUGGGUGGUUGGUGUGUGGUUGGGUAGGGGAGCGUCCUGCAUGAGGUGAAGUUUCGGAGUGAUCCGGGGUGGAUUGUGUGGGAGUGAGAAUGCAGGCAUGAGUAGCGAUUGAGAAGUGAGAAUCUUUUCCGUCUUAUAACUAAGGGUUCCAGGGGUAGGUUCGUCCGCUCUGGGUUAGUCGGGUCCUAAGGCGAGGCCGUCAGGCGUAGUCGAUGGUUAACCAGUUUUUAUUCUGGUACCGGCAUAUUCUCGUUCAGUGGUGAGGCGCAUAGUACUAACCAAUAUUUACUGCUGGUUUUCCCUUUCGGGGGUUUGCUGGUGGUGGUCUUGGGACCGAUGUGUGUAGUAGUCAAGCGUGUUAACAGGGGUGACGCAGUUAGAUAGCUCAGCGUCGUGAUGGUUUACGGCGUUCAAGCAUGUGGCCUAUCGGGUUGGUAAAUCCGCUCGUGUUUGGGUGAGGUGUGAUGGUGACCUGUUUUUGUGGGGAUAUUGGGUGAUUCUGUGCUGUCUAGAAAAGCCUCGGCGUUAGAGGGUGUGUUGCCCGUACCCUAAACCGACACAGGUGGUUUGGUAGAGAAUACUAAGACGUGCGAGUGAAUCAUGGUUAAGGAACUCGGCAAAAUGCCUCCGUAACUUUGGGAGAAGGAGGACCCGGCCUUUUACAUUACCUUUGCGGUUUUGGUGGGGGUUGGGGCGCAGAGACCAGGGGGAAGCGACUGUUUAUCAAAAACAUAGGUGUGUGCGAAGCCGUAAGUAAACGGCGGUGGUAACUAUAACCAUCCUAAGGUAGCGAAAUUCCUUGUCGGGUAAGUUCCGACCUGCACGAAUGGCGUAACGACUUCCCUGCUGUCUCGACCGUGAGCUCGGUGAAAUUGCAUUAUGAGUAAAGAUGCUCGUUUAGCGCAGCAGGACGGAAAGACCCCGGGACCUUUACUAUAGCUUGGUAUUGGUGGUUGAUUAUGCUUGUGUAGAAUAGGUGGGAGACUGUGAGGCCGCGCCGCUAGGUGUGGUGGAGUUGUAAUGUGAAAUACCACUCUGGUGUGAUUGGCUGUCUUAACCUUGGCCCGUGAUCCGGGUUGGGGACAGUGCCUGGUGGGUAGUUUAACUGGGGCGGUUGCCUCCUAAAAGGUAACGGAGGCGCUCAAUGGUUCCCUCAUCCUGGUUGGUAAUCAGGUGUUGAGUGUAAGUGCACAAGGGAGCUUGACUGUGACACUGACGGGUGGAGCAGGUACGAAAGUAGGAACUAGUGAUCCGGCAAUGGCUUGUGGAAGCGUUGUCGCUCAACGGAUAAAAGGUACCCCGGGGAUAACAGGCUGAUCUUGCCCAAGAGUCCAUAUCGACGGCAUGGUUUGGCACCUCGAUGUCGGCUCGUCGCAUCCUGGGGCUGGAGUUGGUCCCAAGGGUUGGGCUGUUCGCCCAUUAAAGCGGUACGCGAGCUGGGUUCAGAACGUCGUGAGACAGUUCGGUCCCUAUCCGCUGCGUUCGUUGGAGAUUUGAGAGGGCCUGUCCCUAGUACGAGAGGACCGGGACGGACGAACCUCUGGUGUGCCAGUUGUACCGCCAGGUGCAUGGCUGGUUUGCUACGUUCGGGAGGGAUAACCGCUGAAAGCAUCUAAGCGGGAAGCCUGCCUCGAGAUAAGAUCUCCGUGCACUGUUUGU